GUGCACCAGUCGCGAAUACUUUACAAUGCGGGAAACCGCGAUAAGGGGACACCGAGUGCCAGCAUAUUAUGUUGGCUGUCCACAUGUGUAAACGGCAUGUGUUAGCAAGGGCCGGGCAAGACCGGUGCCAGCCGCCGCGGUAACACCGGCGGCCCGAGUGGUAAUCACUUUUAUUGGGGUCUAAAGGGUCCGUAGCCGGUUUGAUCAGUUCUUCGGGAAAUCUGACAGCUCAACUGUUAGGCUUCCGGGGAAUACUGUCAGACUUGGGACCGGGGAGAGGUAAGAGGUACUACAGGGGUAGGAGUGAAAUCUUGUAAUCCCUGUGGGACCACCAGUGGCGAAGGCGUCUUACCAGAACGGGUCCGACGGUGAGGGACGAAAGCUGGGGGCACGAACCGGAUUAGAUACCCCGUAGU
rnacentral:rRNA from 1 species